AAUAAUGAGGAGCCUCGCUGUGUGGGAAAAGCGUACCAGCCAGCCUGCCCACCACACCCGAGUCAACAACCACGCUGUCGUCACUGCAGAAAAACACAAUCAACAUGACCCGUUCUCCCCUGAGGAGGUGGAAUUUGAGUAGGGAAAGCUUCAGAAAUGCAGGAAGGAUUAGCGGUGAUGACUGCAGGCUGCCAUCGACCCGCAGGUGGGAGGAGAGGAAAUACCUGAAGAAGUGUUGCAUAUUUGCCAAGAACACCAGGGGACAGUUUAACAAGACACCUGCAAUGGCACCACAAGUUCCUGCCUUUGAAGUGAAGCUUGCUACAGACUCUGCCUUCAAGCUGACAUGGGUUCAAAGGAUUCCGAAGAGUGUUGAGGAUCAGAUACUGACAAGAACUGGCUGGCAUCUUACUGUGUUCAACAGAUAAGAUCACAUGACCUCUCCCACACCCUUGACCUGACCAUGUAACUGGCCAGGACCAUACUGAGGCGAUCUGAGAGUCUCCUAACUUCUCUGCCCCAACCCAGCGGCAGAAAUAGCCCAAGAAGUAGCCCAAAUGUAGCCUGCCAUAAGAGAUAGCCCAGUAGCUAAAAAAAAAUAGCCCAAAGAUUAGGUUGCCCAAAAAAUAGCCCAAAGAAUGUGGUUUUUUUAUGUUUUAUUUAUUUAGUUUAUUUAUUUUAAUUGUAAAGGAAGUUAAGAAUUUUUUUUUUAAGUCAGUCAGUUCUCUAAGUCAAGAAAGGUGUGUGUCAGUCAGUCAGUCAGUCAGUCAGUCAGUCAGUCAGUCAGUCAGUCAGUCAGACAGACAGACAGACAGACAGACAGACAGACAGACUUAUGCCAUUGAGAAAAUGACAUUAAGCUCUAGGCUAUUAAAAGUAGAUUUGAUAUUUGAGAGAGAGAGAGAGAGAGAGAUAAUAAUUGUAGUAUGUGUGUGUGAGAAACAUGACUGGCUGCCCAGAUCACCCUUUGAGGCAGCUGAUUGGUUGACAACUUGGUGCUUGUAUCUGAUUGGUCACCAUGACUUAGAUGUGACACAUGAUUGGUUGGAAUUACUACUGUUACUGUUAUUUUUAAGUUCUGACUAAGUGUAAUGGGAAAUGUUGUGUUUCUGAUAAGUUUUUUGGUCAUUUUCAAGUUUGGCUGAGUUCUGACUAAGUUCUGAAUUUAAAUGCAUUUUUGUGAAGAUUUUUAGUCUAGGAAAGUUUGGCUAAUUUUUUUUUUUUGAAGUUCUGAGUGAAAAUGUUGUGUUUCUGAUAAGUUUUUAAGGUCAUUUUUCAAGUCUGGCCAAGUUCUGACUAAGUUCUGAAUUAAAAUAUUGUGUUUUUGUGAAGAUUUUUUGGUCUAGGAAAGUUUGGCUAAUUUUUUUUAAAGUUCUGAGUCAAAAGGUUGUGUUUCUGAUAAGUUUUUUAUGUUAUUUUCAAGUUUGGCCAAGUUCUGACUAAGUUCUGAAUUUAAAUAUUGUGUUUUUGUGAAGAUUUUUUAUUAAGGAAAGUUUGGCUAAUUUUUUUUUAAGUUCUGAGUCAAAAUGUUGUGUUUCUGAUAAGUUUUUUAUGUUAUUUUCAAGUUUGGCCAAGUUCUGACUAAGUUCUGAAUUUAAAUAUUGUGUUUUUGUGAAGAUUUUUUAUUAAGGAAAGUUUGGCUAAUUUUUUUUAAGUUCUGAGUCAAAAGGUUGUGUUUCUGAUAAGUUUUUUAUGUUAUUUUCAAGUUUGGCCAAGUUCUGACUAAGUUCUGAAUUUAAAUAUUGUGUUUUUGUGAAGAUUUUUUAUUAAGGAAAGUUUGGCUAAUUUUUUUUUAAGAUCUGAGUCAAAAUGUUGUGUUUCUGAUAAGUUUUUUAUGUUAUUUUCAAGUUUGGCCAAGUUCUGACUAAGUUCUGAAUUAAAAUAUUGUUUUUUUGUGAAGAUUUUUUAUUAAGGAAAGUUUGGCUAAUUUUUUUUAAGAUCUGAGUCAAAAUGUUGUGUUUCUGAUAAGUUUUUUAUGUUAUUUUCAAGUUUGGCCAAGUUCUGACUAAGUUCUGAAUUUAAAUAUUGUGUUUUUGUGAAGAUUUUUUAUUAAGGAAAGUUGCUAAUUUUUUUUUAAGAUUGAAUCAAAAUGUUGUGUUUCUGAUAAGUUUUUUAUGUUAUUUUCAAGUUUGGCCAAGUUCUGACUAAGUUCUGAAUUUAAAUAUUGUUUUUUUUUUUGUGAAGAUUUUUUAUUAAGGAAAGUUUGGCUAAUUUUUUUUAAAGUUCUGAGUCAAAAUGUUGUGCUUCUGAUAAGUUUUUAAUGUUAUUUUCAAGUUUGGCCAAGUUCUAAGUUCUGAAUUUAAAUAUUGUGUUUUUGUGAAGAUUUUUUUUAUUAAGGAAAGUUUGGCUAAUUUUUUUUAAGUUCUGAGUCAAAAUGUUGUGUUUCUGAUAAGUUUUUUAUGUUAUUUUCAAGUUUGGCCAAGUUCUAAGUUAUAAUUGAAAGUAUUGUGUUUUUGACAAGAUUAUAAGUGUGAAAGUUUGUGUUAAGUUCAUUGCAGUGAAAGUUGAUGUGUAUACUUAAGUUAUUCACUUAUAGAAACUUAUAAGGGCAUAAAGGUUACAUUGAAAAAAUUAGAGGAAUAAAUGUUUACUUAUUUUGUAUUGUGAGAGAGAGAGAGAGAGAGAGGUCAGGUGCCUUCUAAUGAUAAUGAUGAUGAUAAUAAUAAUAAUAAUAAUAAUAAUAACUAGUAUUCAUACCAAAAUAUCCAUCCAUAGAAAAUAUUCAUGUUUUUACUAUUAUUAUUAUUAUUAUUAUUAUUAUUAUUAUUAUUAUUAUUAUUAUUAUUAUUAUUAUUAUUAUUAUUAUUAUUAUUAUUAUUAUUAUUGCUGCUGCUACUACUACUACUACUACUACUACUACUACUACUACUACUACUACUACUACUACUACUACUACUACUACUACUACUACUACCACCACCAAACACCACCAAUACACUCCCACCACUACCACCACUACUACUACUACUACUACUACUACUACUACUACUACUACUACUACUACUACUACUACUACUACUACUACUACUACUACUACCACCACCACCACCCAAACACCACCAAUACACUCCCACCACUACCACUACUACUACUACUACUACUACUACUACUACUACUACUACUACUACUACUACCACCACCACCACCAAACACCACCAAUACACUCCCACCACUACCACUACUACUACUACUACUACUACUACUACUACUACUACUACUACUACUAUUUUUUCCAUGCAAUUAGGCAUAUUAGGAUCAUCAUCAUCAGUAGUAGCAGUAGUAGGCCUAGUCAUUACACACACAAUAAUUCAUAAUAAACUUGUAUAUUUAUUUUUCUGCAUAUUUCAAUUUCUUAUUUUAUUUAUUCCAAUGAUUUUAACUAAUACACUCCAUGUUUAGACCUAUGUGUGUGUGUGUGUGUGUGUAUGUGUUAGGUGACCCAGCAUGACCUCUCAUUGUGACCUCUGCUGUUUGAGUCAAGUCUGGUGAGAAAUUGAUGUACACUAGCAUUGAAACCAUUGGAGAUUCAAAUAAGCUAGGCAGUGUUGUGUUGUGUUCGGGGUGUUCGGCUAAGAAUUAAAAUUGUGUUUCGGAUAAGCUGGCCAGUGUUGUGUUGUGUUCAGGGUGUUUGGCAAAGGAAAAACUGUAUUUGGGAUAAGGUGUGUGCAUUUUUUGGUAUUUGGUGUAGGGUAAACUGUUGUAUUUUGGUAAACCAGCAGAAUAUUGGAUAAAGUUGUGUUUGUGAUGAAAGAAAUUGUGUGUAGAAUAUUUAGGUGAAAGAUAAGCAGUGUUUUUUAAUUAGAUACAGAAGUGGUGUGUGUGUUUUUUUGGUGUUUGGUAAAAGAUGAACUGUUGUAAUUGAAAUGGUGUUGAGGAUUGUGAAAAUUUUGUUAAACUUAUUUCAUAGUAUCUAAUUCUUUUCUGUGGUCUUCUUCCUCCUCCUCUUCUUUCUUUCUUUCUUUCUUUCUUGUGUUCCUUCCUCUUUCCCUUUCUUUUCUUUCUGGUGUUCCUUCUUCUUCCUCUUCUUUCUCUUGUCCUUUUCUUUUCUUGUUCCUUCUCCUCUUUCUCUUCUUCCUCUCUUCCUCUUCCUUCUGUCUUUUUGUUGAGUUUUGUCUUCCUUCUUCCUCUUCCUCUUCUUCCUUUGUUGUCUUGUCUCUUCUUCCUGUCUUCCUCUUUUAAUUUACUGUUUUAUGUUCCUCCUCCUCCUCCUCUUCCUCUCUUUCAUUCUUCCCCUGUCAUCCUCUUCACUUCUUCAUUCUUCCCGUCAUCCUCUUCACUUCUGUCUUCCUUUAAUUCAUAUGUACCUCCUCCUCCUCAUCAUCAUCUUUCUCUCUUCCCUGUCUUUUCCUCCUCAUCUCCUCAUCAUCAUUCUCUCUCUUCCCUGUGUGUUUUCCUCCUCAUCAUCCUCUUCCUCUCUUCCCUUUGUCUUUAAGUAAAAUUCAGGUUUGUCUGUUAUUAUUAUUAUUAUUAUUAUUAUUAUUAUUAUUAUUGUAACAUUCUAAACUUUUCUAUAAGGAUUAAAUUUUGAUAUAUUGA